rnacentral:misc_RNA from 1 species
ACAAAGAAGAUCGAAGAUAUUUGUUAUCGAAAUUAUUGGCAAUCACGGUUACGGUAACUGACUUUGACCAAUAUGCAUGGGCAAAGUUUCAAAAUUCUCUCUACCUUGCCAUUUCUCACAUACGCUACAGAGGUUGUGAGUCGGAAGUUAUAGUUAAUUGGGGGCAGAAACUCGAAGAGCAGGUCGAGGAUAGAAAUGAUUAUUCUCGAUUCUGCUACCAAGUUCAUCGAGCCUUUGCAUCCCUUCGCGAUCUUUUCUCAGAUAGCCAACCGGAAGUUUGAAGGGAGCACGAGACUAAAGGAACAGCGAACCAGUGAUUUAAAUCGUAAGAAGAAAAGCUCCAAAGAAAAAACUGAUACUCUGGAUAAUUCCUUAAAGUUUUAUUCUUUCAUUGAAGUAAUCUCAAAGUAGCAACGUACCUUGAGAAGAAACGAUACCUGAAACGGAACAAUGUCGGAAGGAAAAAGCUAAUUCUUAAAGGUAAAACUAAUUAUGGAUUAUUUAUGGAUACGAUGUAAAUAGAAAAUUUAAUUUCUUUAGAAUGUGAGUGUUU